rnacentral:rRNA from 1 species
CAAUCAUAAAAGGUGGCUUUUAGCUACCACUUACAGAUGGACCCGCGGCGCAUUAGCUAGUUGGUGAGGUAACGGCUCACCAAGGCGACGAUGCGUAGCCGACCUGAGAGGGUGAUCGGCCACACUGGGACUGAGACACGGCCCAGACUCCUACGGGAGGCAGCAGUAGGGAAUCUUCCGCAAUGGACGAAAGUCUGACGGAGCAACGCCGCGUGAGUGAUGAAGGUUUUCGGAUCGUAAAACUCUGUUGUUAGGGAAGAACAAGUACCGUUCGAAUAGGGCGGCACCUUGACGGUACCUAACCAGAAAGCCACGGCUAACUACGUGCCAGCAGCCGCGGUAAUACGUAGGUGGCAAGCGUUGUCCGGAAUUAUUGGGCGUAAAGCGCGCGCAGGCGGUUUCUUAAGUCUGAUGUGAAAGCCCCCGGCUCAACCGGGGAGGGUCAUUGGAAACUGGGGAACUUGAGUGCAGAAGAGGAGAGUGGAAUUCCACGUGUAGCGGUGAAAUGCGUAGAGAUGUGGAGGAACACCAGUGGCGAAGGCGACUCUCUGGUCUGUAACUGACGNUGAGGCGCGAAAGCGUGGGGAGCGAACAGGAUUAGAUACCCUGGUAGUCCACGCCGUAAACGAUGAGUGCUAAGUGUUAGAGGGUUUCCGCCCUUUAGUGCUGCAGCAAACGCAUUAAGCACUCCGCCUGGGGAGUACGGUCGCAAGACUGAAACUCAAAGGAAUUGACGGGGGCCCGCACAAGCGGUGGAGCAUGUGGUUUAAUUCGAAGCAACGCGAAGAACCUUACCAGGUCUUGACAUCCUCUGACAACCCUAGAGAUAGGGCUUCCCCUUCGGGGGCAGAGUGACAGGUGGUGCAUGGUUGUCGUCAGCUCGUGUCGUGAGAUGUUGGGUUAAGUCCCGCAACGAGCGCAACCCUUGAUCUUAGUUGCCAGCAUUCAGUUGGGCACUCUAAGGUGACUGCCGGUGACAAACCGGAGGAAGGUGGGGAUGACGUCAAAUCAUCAUGCCCCUUAUGACCUGGGCUACACACGUGCUACAAUGGGCAGAACAAAGGGCAGCGAAGCCGCGAGGCUAAGCCAAUCCCACAAAUCUGUUCUCAGUUCGGAUCGCAGUUUGCAACUGGACUGCGUGAAGCUGGAA